rnacentral:lncRNA from 1 species
GUGUUAUAAAAAUAAAAUAGAAAAAAAUAGAAUAAAAUAAAAUUUCAUAUUGUGUGACUGUAAUAAGUAUGGUUCAAAAAAAGUAUCUGAAUUAAGACUAGAGAAAAAAUGUUAUUGGAAAUGAUGUUGUUCUGUUAAAAUCUACUGAGCUGGUUAAUGUUCUGUAAUUCUGUCAGUAUCAACUGAGGAGCUAGUUCUUGCAGUCAUAACCAAGUCCCUUGGUCCUCAGUGUUAAAACCUAGCAGCCUUGUUUACAAAGGCUUUUUCACAGACCUUAGCAGAGAUGGAACUGGGCCAUGAAUACUUUGGUUGUUGUGGUAGAUAUAUUGUUAUGUGAUCCCAUUGGGAACAGCAUGUGGGUAGUAUAGCCAAGACAGCGCUCAGAGACGUUAAACAAUAUGGCUUCU